rnacentral:rRNA from 1 species
GAUGAACGCUGGCGGCGUGCCUAAUACAUGCAAGUCGAGCGAAUGGAUUAAGAGCUUGCUCUUAUGAAGUUAGCGGCGGACGGGUGAGUAACACGUGGGUAACCUGCCCAUAAGACUGGGAUAACUCCGGGAAACCGGGGCUAAUACCGGAUAACAUUUUGAACCGCAUGGUUCGAAAUUGAAAGGCGGCUUCGGCUGUCACUUAUGGAUGGACCCGCGUCGCAUUAGCUAGUUGGUGAGGUAACGGCUCACCAAGGCAACGAUGCGUAGCCGAGCUGGGAGGGUGAUCGGCCACACUGGGACUGGGACACGGCCCAGACUCCUACGGGAGGCAGCAGUAGGGAAUCUUCCGCAAUGGACGAAAGUCUGACGGAGCAACGCCGCGUGAGUGAUGAAGGCUUUCGGGUCGUAAAACUCUGUUGUUAGGGAAGAACAAGUGCUAGUUGAAUAAGCUGGCACCUUGACGGUACCUAACCAGAAAGCCACGGCUAACUACGUGCAGCCGCCGCAGUAA